GCGUGCUUUCCAGGUCUCCCUUUCUGGAAAUCAUGCCAUCCCUUAGAUAUAUUUGAGUUUUAUUCAAACUAGCAUAGCAUCUCAAAUAGCUCCUCAUAGCAAAGUCAUGCUCCCAGACAGGCGUGCACUGUUGACCACAAAAGCUGUCUCCAAAGCUCCUUUUGUCUAGAAGUCCAUCUCUCCUUUCCCAUGUGACAUUGUGCUCACUUAUUGCAUUAGCUAUUUGGCGUAGCAUUCCACUCCAGACUUCUUCUUUCUCCUCUUCCGGUUUCUUAUCUUUUGUUCGAGAGAGCCAUUCUCUUCUUGAUCUGCCUCAUGAAAUGGUCGAUCAAAUUCCUCCAAAGUUCCAGCAAUUCCUUUUGAUGUAAUUGCCUGCCUUGAAAUGAUCUUUGUACAUAUGCCAAAGCCAACCUUUAAUGUCCUCCCAGUGGAUUUAAUGCAAGGCAUUAAUACCACCACUUGAGAUUCUACUAUAACAUAAGGCUUUAGCAUCGAUGAGAUACCUGCAAAAAAGUAAACAAUGUUAGCUGAAAAAUUGCUAACCAAUCUCUCCUCAAGAAUGAUUCGAGUCCGAUAGCAAAUUGUAGCCUCUUUUCCUCCUAAUUGCUUGCAACCUUCACUCUUAUGUAAGGACAUUGCAUCUUGUCUUCUUAAUAAUCCUCCUUCCUUUUGAGUCCAUAUCCCAGAAGCCAUGACAUUCAAUAUUUCCUUCAUCUAGAGCAUAGUUGGCAAGGUGGUCUGCUAAUGUAUUCCCUUCUCUGAGUAUGUGUGUGACCUUGAUGAUACUUUAUUCCUUCAAUCUUAAAAUCUCCUCAACGUGAUCAGUAAUACGCCAAGGAGGUUUCCAUGAUUCCUCUAUAAUGUUCUUUAAUAGCAAGGAAUCUGUCUGCAGCCAUAUCUGAAAAUAAUUAAGAUUUUUGCACAUCUUCAAUGCCUCCACAAUAGCUACUGCUUCUGAUUCAUUAUUGGUUCCUUCAGAAAUCUCCCUUCCUUCUGCAUAUAUCAAAUCACCUACCUCAUCCCUUAUGCAAAAACCAAUUGAACUCCUCUCUGGGUUCCUUCUAAUAACCAAUUGAAAUGCUCCAUCCGUAUUUACUUUGAUCCACCCUCUUGGAGGAAAUUCCCAUAACACAUUUUCAUAUUUCAAUCGAGGUGUGUAUUACUCCAUUAUUGUCAGUAAGUCCAGUCACUUGUGAGGCACAUGCAGUCCAGGCUUUUUUAGUUGGACUAGACCUUGCAGAGUAGAUGACACCUGGUAAAUAACUCUGCUCACUGACACUGCUUCUCCAUAUUUCAAACUGUUUCUUCUCUUCCAAAGUUCACAUACAAUGCAUGCAGGUAAAGCUUGUAAGACUGGCUUCAAUCUGGGAACAACUGGUGCUGUCCAACACUUUGUAAUUGCUUGUUGUAAAGAUAACCCUUCUAAUGCAAUUCCUGCUCUCCUCAGGAAGUAAUUCCAAACACUCCUAGCUGCAUUGGAUGUGAAGAACAAAUGUACUAAUGACUCCUCCUUAGGAUCAGCACAGCACCAACAUUUUGAUGGCAUGGAGUAUCCUAUUUUACGCAAGAAAUCAUCAAGUGGCAGUUCGGCUUUCCACACCUUCCACAGGAAGAAGGAUAUCUUGAAAGGUAAGGCUUUGACCCAUAUCAUCCUGUAGCCUAAUCUUGGGCUGUCUCUUCUUCGCAGGUAAUCCCAUGUGUGAGCACGUGAUUUUUGCCCUAUGUGAGAAUUACUCCCAAAAAUUCAAAAUAAAACAAUUUUCCUUUGUGUGCAAUUUUGAGAAUUUUCGUGGCAUUUUUGGAUAAUUAUUUGUAUUUGUCCGUGCAUGUUUAUUUGUUAAAUUAUUAAAAA
rnacentral:lncRNA from 1 species